rnacentral:rRNA from 1 species
AGUGAACGCUGGCGGUAGGCCUAACACAUGCAAGUCGAGCGACCGCACGGGAAGCUCUCUCCUUUGAGGUUGGCGGCGGACGGACGGGUAAGACGUGCAUCGCAUACUUCUUUUUCUUGGGGAAUAACGUGGGACAACUUCCAAUACUAGCUCAUAUAUCCAACGGGUGAAAUCAGGAGUGCUUGGGACUUUUGCCGAUAGUUUGAGCUGGUGCCGCAUUAGCUAGUUGGCUGGGUAAGGGCCCACCAAGGCGACGAUCCGUAGCCGGUCUGAGAGGAUGAUCAGCCACACUGGAACUGAGACACGGUCCAGACUCCUACGGGAGGCAGCAGUGGGGAAUAUUGGGCAAUGGGCGCAAGCCUGAUCCAGCCAUACCGCGUGGGUGAAGAAGGCCUUCGGGUUGUAAAGCCCUUUUGUUGGGAAAGAAAAGAAGCAGGUUAAUACCCCGCUGUUCUGACGGUACCCAAAGAAUAAGCACCGGCUAACUUCGUG